UUAAUGUUAUUAUUUAUAUUCUUUGCAUUUGUUUUGUACAGCUGUUUAUAAUAUGGAGAGCGUUCUUAAUUAGAUCUAAAAGAAGCAUCAAUUUGUUAUUAUACCUAUAUACAUGUCCUGGCCCAAAGUUUCUUAUUGACCAAUCUACAAUUAUUUCAGUGUGAAAUUUUGCUGACAUGAUGUCAUAAUUUAACGGAAAAGUGUGGAAAUAAUUUGAUGGCAUUUCAAUGUAAAACACUUCUGAAUGGUUUGCAGGUCAUUAUAUAGAAUGCAGUCAUGGAAUUGCUUAUAACUUGUUGGUCAGUUGUCAAAACUAUUGCCUGAUCUCUGAAGGCAAUAGCUUUGACUAUUGACCAGUAAAGCCAUUCAUUUUAAAACAUUGACAUCAGAAAUUAAUUUUCAGUUUUCAUUUUUUGCCCACCCUGUGUUGAACAUAAAACUCUCAAAUGGCAUAAACUUCAGACCAGAGAUUUGUAUAAGAAGUCAUAUAAUAAUCAAAAUUAAUGACCCUCAGUCCUCCAGAUCUUUUACUGAGAGUCAAUAGUUUCAACUAUUGUCUGGCAAGCCAUUCAGUAAAUGUAUGGUCUUUAUAGUUUUGAUGCAGUUAGAUAGAUGAAGUACUGUACACCUGCUAGCAGCUUUAUUAAAACGCAUAGUUUGAAAAUAUAUAAGAUAACUUUUAGUACAAAACUACUUAAUAGUUAACAGCUAAAUGAUACCUAAACCUCUAAGAAUAUCAACCACUGUUGACUUAAUCAUGAGACAAUGAACUAAGUUAACUAUCGAGUCAGUCCUUUGUGAUGUUAUAUUGCACACUUUAAUUUUGGAGGCACCAAACCAGGCAAUGCCAGGUUAUAUUAAUAAUUGUUAAACAAACUACCAUUUCAUGUUGCUUCUAUUUUCAACUCCAUAGAUCUUAUCAUACAGUAAUGAUGCAUGUGUUUAUACUAUGACCUGUUUAUCAGCUUCUCGUAAUGUGUCCAGAAAUUGGUUCAAUUUACAAACAACAUAACAGCUGAAGAAUAUACCUACUGAAAUAACCAAGUUAGAUAACUCUCGGGUUAACUGAAUUCAAAUUAUGACCCUUUUUGCUUAGAAAUUUCAGUCAAAGUUUUAUAUUCAUUCACCUUUGUCAAGGUGUAUGUCACUCGGUAACAACUGAUAAUGCAUAUAUUGAAAUGAAACUUCACUUGGCAUCUCCUUUGUCCAUUCAAAGUCAGGUUAGACAACUCGUGGUUGAAAUUUUUUUUCAAACUAGCCAUCAUUUGACAUAGAAAAUUUAGUUAAAGUAAAUUUCAAAUUGCCAUGACAUAAUGUUUAUUUGGUUUAUUUGUAAUGAAUUGGUAUGAAAUAACUCCGUUACAUAAGUCUUGCUAAGUUAUUGCCCUUGUUUGACCAGCAGUCAAGUGCCCUGUCUUAUGUAAGCACUUCAGUCUUGUUUAUAUAGAGCCAUGUCUGGAUUUAGUUCAACAAGUUUGAGAAUAAUUCAGGACAAGAAGGAGGAUUUCAGAUAACUUUAUCCUAUUGUUUGCCUGGCAAUCUCCAAUGACUCAUGUAUGUAAACAUAGGAAGUUCAAAAACUUGAACUUGUUAUGUUUGCAGCAGAUUUACCUCUAGAUUCAACAUUUAUCUCUUAGUAUGCUUAAUUUCUAAAAUGGACUGGACCUUCAUUCAAUUUGGGCAGUGCCACUUAUUAUUCAAAGAGAUAUUCACUGAAAAUUUGCCGACUGAAUAGCAAAUAGUGCAGAUUACGAUCAGACUGCAUGGAUGUGCAGGCUGAUCAUGAUCUGCACUGGUCACAACUGCACUGAUCAGUUGUGUCCAGCAUGAUAAGGGUUAACCAAGAAACAGGCAUAAGAUUUUGAUUACAGCUGCACUUAAAAAUUAUCUCUUCAUGGUCAUUUACAGAGAGAUACAUGUAUGUAUCUGGUUAUUUGGUUCCUUCCUCAUAUGUGUCCAGCCACAUGCAAUCUUAUGGUGAGAUGAGGGUAGUUCAUUGGAGUGGGGGUGUAGCAAUGUAUUGUAGUCCAUUAGUGUGUUCAUGUUCAUCAUAAUAUUAUGUAUAAUUCUGUGGUUACUAAUUGUAUCAAUUGAUGUCAUUUGGAAGGAAUCUCUUACAUCAUGAAAAGACAGCUGUUGUGCUAAGCACCCACAUUUAUCAAGUUUCAGCUUAAACUUUCUGGUACCUUAUACAGUAAUGAAAUAGCUUGUUUGCAUUGCGAUCAGUUCUGCCUGUGACACCAUUUGUUUGUAUUGAUUAGGAAAUUUGUUAUGAUACUAUGGACACAAAGGAGUUCACAACUUCAUUUAAUAUUGAACAACUUGCUACAUGUUUAGUUAGAUUAUAUUUUUCCAUAUAUUGUAAGGGUAAAAAUUAGGACAGGAUAACAGAUUGAUUUAAACAAUUUUAAUAUGAAAAUCCUGGGAAUAUAAAUUUAACCAUUUGAGCAGAUUUCGCUCAAACUUCAAUACAGUUAGAUUUCAGGCUGAUCAUGGUCUGCAACUGUUCACUAUUCAGUCAGUAAAUUUCCAGUGAACACCCCUUCAAAUAAUAAAUGGUACUGUCCAAACUGAAUGAUGGACCAGUCCAUUUUAGAAAUUUAGCAGGCUAAGCGUUAGACAACAGUUUCGCGACUAUUGCACUAAUUCUCCCUGAGAAAAAUGUGAUUGCUAAAUACCACAGAUGAAUAAGUUAGAUACAAUAUUUGUUUGUGGAAGAAACUGGAUGAGUAAUAAUAACAACAGCUUCUCACUAGCAUCUAAUAGUGUCACAUGUUUUCUGUUGGUGGGAGGCACUAUUGAUUGAUUUCUAGUACCGGUAUUACUCAGCAUUAAUCUAUUUGCUGAUGCAAAUAUCACUACUGUACAGAAGUACGAUAAAUUCCAUGGUGACAAUAGAUAUUCCAUGUUCUGAAUCUGAUAUUAUUUGAAGAACUUCUGUAUAUAUAUAGCUAAAGAGAUAAUAAACUAAACAUUGUUAGGUUUUGAGAAAGAUUAUGUUAUUUCUGUUUCAAUUAAAAUCGUAAUAUUCAAAUUUCAGUUAUUUGCAGUUAAGACUAGCAACAGAUAUAAUGGUGUUUUGUUUUAUAUAAAUAGCUGAGGCUUGAUAAUGUAUGCAUUAAUUCAAAUGCUUUGAUUUAUUUCUGGUGAUUUUUUUCUCAACUUGUAUCGAAUGAUAAAAUCAUAUACAGUUGUAAAAACUACUUAAAAAUUUUCCAAGUCAAUAACCUUUUGAGUGAUUUAAUUGUGUCACCAUGAAAGUUAUUAAUCAGGUUGUUACAGAAUUAUUCAUUUAACCUUUAGCCUGCUGGCGGCAAGUGAUUUUGCAUUUGCGACCAGUGUAGACCAAGAUCUGCCUUCACAUCUGUGCAGGCUGAUCAUGGUAAUCCUAGUGUUUGGUACAAUAUUCAGUCAGUAAAUUUCAAGUGAACACCCCUUCAAAUAACAAAUGGUACUGCCCAACUUGAUUGAUAGACAAGUCCAUUUAAGAAAUUUUGCAGGCUAAAUAUUUGACGAGUCUGUAUAGGUUAACCGCAGAAACCUCAGAAAAUCUGCACUCUGACAGUGUAUCAGACGAACAUCCAUAAUUGAUGCCGUUCAUGGUUAAGUAAAACAUGGGAAUACACAUUAGCAAUUCCCAGAAUGAUUUUCUGAGAAAUUUGAAUAUUAUUCCUGUUAUAUGUGUAUAUAAUAUGCUAUUAUGAUCAUAUAGUUUGAGUGAUAGUGUGAAUCGCCUGUGAUGUUUUGAUUGACUACAAGUUUACUGUUAUUCUAACAACUCAUACGUGAUGAAGUUAAGGCACGUUCUACGGUUGUUCAAUACAGUGAAAAGAACAAGCCCGACUUGUAAGACGUGCACAGUGAUUCAAUUAAAAAUAUUUGGAUUAAACAUAGAAAUAUUGUUCAGAUAAAGUUUUCAAACCAUUUAUUAUCAGUUGUUUAGUUCAUUAUUUUAGGUCUCGAGCCAAAGCCAGUGCUUUCUUAAAAAAAAAAAGAAGUUUGUUCACAGAUCCUGACUGAUCCAUCACAUCAAUUGUCUGGGGCCCAGAUCGUUUUGUAUGAAACUUCUUUAGUACUGCAGUCAGAUAUUCUAUCAAAAUGCAUAUAUUCAAUUUAAAAAAAUGUUUAGCUUUUCAAAUAAGUACAUGUAGUGUAGAUAUAAAAAUUAAUUUCUGUCGUAUUGUAACACCAAUUUUCCCUGUUAGUAUAUUAAUUUGCUGUGAAUUGAUUGAAAGAAAGAAUCUGAAAAAACAGACCUUCCCAACUCAAAAUUUUUUGGUCAGUCAAAGCACAACAAAUAACGCUUUUAAGAGUGGCCAUAUUGGGAUCAUUUUUUUUGUCCGUCUGUUUUCAUUUUUGACUGAAAUGAACCUCUACCACAAAAACUUAAGCUAGCCUGAUCUGUUAAUUAAGAAAUUAUUCCAAUGGGAUUCGAGCAAUGUCGGAGCAUUUAACUGUGUGCCCAACUCCGUUUGAUCUCAUUGGUCAAGUGACUUAUUACUUGCCCUUCACCUCUACCAUUUCGAGUUUCACUAGGGGUACAAAGUUGCUCAUGUGUCGAAGCCAUCUAACUGGGUUUCAGAAGAUAUGUUAAUUAUUCCACUUGGGUGCCCAUUUUGUGUUAAAUAUUCCUCAUCCUCUGCAGUUAAAUGGGCACACCUUCAGAUUAAUGUAGAACAAUCAAAAUUAAAAAUAAGACACUCAUCCCUUAGUAAUUAUGAAUACAAAAUAAAAACAAAGUGAUUCCGUGAGUUUUAGCAAGAAUUUAUUUGCAAAACCAUUCAUGUAGUCUUUAAAACAUAUAGAAAAGCUAUCUACUGUGUUAGUCACACUAAAUGUUUAAGUCCUGUGUUAUUCUUAAAGAAAUGUUAACUUUAUGUAUAAUUAUAACUGCAAAAAAAAAAAAAAAAAAAAAAAAAAAAAAAUACCCGCUCGCUCCAUGUAAAAGCUACCCGCCUCUGAAAAAAUCAAAAUUGAGAAAAAAAAAAAAAAAAAAAAAAAAAAUUCGCUUGCUCGCUCCCAUUUUUUUUGAAAAUUUUCCGAAGAACCAUGAAUCAAUUUGGUAUGGCCUUAAUGCCAGGUUAUCUAUAAAAGUGAGAUCAAGAACUAGGUAACUGUUUAAAAACCUUGUUAACCCCUUAUUAGAGCUGACAGUGUUUUUUCUUUAUAAAAUUUAUGUAAAGUUAAAACAUGGUGGUUAAAAACUAGGUCACUAGAUCAAGUCAUGGCAAAAAACCGUUUUUAACUUAAACUUUGGUCAGACUGUUUGUUUGUAUUAAAUAUUAAGUCAAGUUAAAAACUGGUUCAUCUUGGGCCAAAAGUAGGUCACUAGGUCAAAUCAUCAAAAAAAAAAAAAACAGCAGUUCUUCACUUUUCACCUGAUUUAUAUUGGACUGUGCUAAAUGCUUAUGUUUACAAAUAAAGUCCAUUUGAAAACUGACAGAUCUUGGUUUAAGUUAUUUAAUAUAAAAAAAACAAAAACAUUAACAUUCUAUGUAAAUGCUAUAUAUCAUCAUUUGAAAUUUUCUGAAGUCAUUUCUGAGUAUUUCUGAUAUAUCUCAGUAGAAGUUCAGAAAAUUCAGACAAUAUUCAGACUGCUAAAAAUUGUUCAGACAGGACACAAUCUUUGUUCAGACAUGUUCAGAAAUAUUCAAAAAAAUAAUUUCAUGAGGGAGAUUUUAAAUUAUUAAAUUCAUGAACAUAAAAAAUAACUAGUUAUAUUACUCCAUGUCAAAGAGAAAACUAUUUAUACUUUUAAUGGUUUUAAUGUUAUCUUUUCGGAGAGGACAUUGACGUCACAGGUAACUGUGUAUCAGGUAACAGUGUAAGUUUAACAGGUAAAUACUUAACAUCAGUUCUUUGAUGUGUCGAAUUUUUUUGUCACUCUGUAUUAUAAUAUACAGACAGAAAUAGGACUGACGUCAAUGCGGUCUUCGUUUUAAUGCGCUUUUGGUACAAGUUGUGUUAGUACCUGCAUAACUAUUUCUAUCUGUUGAAGAGAAAGCAUGAUAAAUUUAGAAAGACUGUUCCUUAAAUAGAUGAGAAACUAUUUGUUAAUUCAUGUUCCCACUCUAAUAUAGUAUUAAUAACUGUGCAAAUCCUAACAGGCUUACAAUUAGUCUGUAAGUUUAGGGUAGUAAAUCGGCUAUGAAUUAUUGAAAUAUAUAACAUUUUCACUUUUUUUUGUAUGUUAGCUGAUUAAGGUUUUGCAUGGCUUUAUAAUAUCAUUUCUAUUGUAUUUAUAUUGGUUUGGCAGUUAACCUGGAUAUUAAGGGAUUCUUUGCUAGUUAACUGACUUAUCUCCAGAAGUAAUUGAGCCGUGCCAUGAGAAAACCAACAUAGUGGGUUUGCGACCAGCUUGGAUCCAGACCAGCCUGCGCAUCCGUGCAGUCUGGUCAGGAUCCAUGCUGUUCGCUUUCAAAGCCUAUUGCAAUUAGAGAAACUGUUAGCGAACAGCAUGGAUCCUGACCAGACUGCGCAGAUGCGCAGGCUGGUCUGGAUCCAUGCUGGUCGCAAACCCACUAUGUUGGUUUUCUCAUGGCACGGCUCAAUUGACCAUUUCUCCACAUGAAUCAGAGGUGACGGAUGAAUGACUUGGGACAGAAAUAUGUCAUCCUUCACAAAUAUUCCUGCUCUGUGGAUCAAACAUUUGACAUUGCCAUCAACAGCCUUAUACCAGCUGAACAUAAUUAGUUAUCAAGUUGGGCACAAUUUUAACUUACAUACACAAAAUUCAUGAAAACUUUAAUUAUAAUUAUAGUAGAAGUUAAUAUGAAGUAUUAACGGCCUCCAUGUCACCCUGAAGCUAUUAAAAGUCAAUGAGUUCGAAUCACUUGCCCCUCACUGCUGUAUGUUAAAAACCUUGCUUAGGGUGAAUAAUCAAUCUGACUAAAGUACAUAUCCUAUUACGCUACGCAUAGGAUCUGAGAACGACCUAUUCAUUGCCUCGUUCUGACGACCCUUUCGCUAGCCAAUCAGAGCCUAACUUACAACAUCUUGCAAAUCUACCUGUAGCCUUGACUUUUGAUAUUUACAAUUCUUAUGUCAUAAUGUAUCAGAUAGCCGGUUAGCUCAAUCGGUAGGCCACUUGCUUUGUAAGCGAGGGGUCCUGGGUUCGAGCCCUGGAAUAACUGCACAUUUUUCUUACUCUUUGACAUUCGAACAUGUCGUCUGAUUGGAUAAAAUAAAAAUAGCAAUACUGGAAAUCCAAAAUAUACAGAAGACGAAUGUGAAUGGGUCGUUCUCAGAUCUUCGUUUAGAAGAUCAAGUACUUUAGUCAGAUUGGGUGAAUAAUUGUUUUAUGUGAGAAUGCCAUGGUAGCUGGUUAUAAAUGGACGGUUGAUGGUUCUACCCAGGUGCCAGCAUGGUCUGCCUGAAAUAUUGCCCAGCUGUUCUCCUGGAGGACUGCCUCGAUCGGUAGCCAGGUGGUAGAGCAACCACUUUGAGUGCGGAAGGUUGUGGCUUUGAUCCCUGGCUGCAUCAUACCAAACAUGUGAAAAAUGGUACUAGUAGCUUCCGCACUUGGCGCUCAACAUUAAGAAGGAUAGUGCUAGGACUGGUCAGCCUGGUGUCAGUAUACUGAGAUAUCAUGUCACAUGUCGGUCUGCACACACACAGAGUUCUUCCUGGGGACUUUCUCCAUCAAGGAAAACAAAGAUAGGAAAGUAAAUUUGACAUAUGCCGUAUUAGUAAUUGUGUUAGUAUAACCCAACAAAAAGGAAACAAAAGCCUUGUUGCAAGAGUUCUUAUCAUGUAGGAUUAAAACGUAGAAGAUGAGCAAAUAGAUAAAGACAUCUUCAUAAUUUGAUACUAGAACUGAUACAUAUGAAAACACAUCAUUCUGUUGUUCUGACAAAUUUGUCUGUAAAUAAAAUGUAAAUAUUUUCUUGAUAAGUUCUCUCAUAUUAGAUGAUGAAAAUAUUUUCUUUUGAUCCAUCAUUUGACACUAAUUCUUAAAGGAAGAUAUAGUAAUGAGGUUUGAAUGCGUGGUGCAUUAUUUAAUAAUUUUUAGUUCACCUGAGCACAAAGUGCUCGGGAUGAGAUAUUGUGAUCAUUCAGUGUCUGUUGCCUCGUAGUCCAACGUUCAUCUGUCCGUCAAUUCACACUUUUCUUUAAACCACACAUCUAUAAAAUCAUGUGGUGGAAGUUGAUGAAACUUGGCGUUUGGCGACCAGCUGAAAGGGCCAUCACGGCCUUCUUGUUUAAUAAUGAUUACAGGCAGCAUAAUUGUUUCCAUAUUUCAUGCCAGUAUAGAAAAGCCUUUUAUUAUGAAUCUUAAUUGACUGAUCAGUAUAUAACUGUUAAAGUUGGUUGGUUCUCUAUACUCUCCAGUUAUUUAUUCAAUAUUUCAAAAGGCAUAGAUCUAAUAUUUCAAAAAAAUUUCAGCCAUUUGAAAAUUGUCAAAAUUUUGUAACAGCUAAUGUCAAUUGUGCAAUUACCAGCAAACAUGAAUAUUUAUUGAUUAUUGUGUAUUUUGAAAUAUAAGCUGAUUUAAUGGAAUUCAGGAACAUUGAAAAUAUAUAUAGUCAAGAUAAAGAUCAUUUUUAUCCGGCAAGAAAAGUUAUAAAUUAUAAAUUCAAAAAGCUCCAAAUUUAGUGUGAAUAUCAUCAAUAUACUUAUAUACCUUAGAAUAUACCUUAGUUUAAACUGAAUGAGAUAAAGAUAUUGAAGUAUACCUCAUGAACUUCAAGUCCAAGAAUUUAAUGUCAUGAACUACAAGUCCAAGAAUUUCAGCUCAUGAACUUCAAGCCCAAGAAUUUCAGCUCAUGAACUACAAGUUGAAGAAUUUCAGCUCAUGAACUUCAAGUCCAAGAAUUUCAGCGCAUGAACUUCAAGUCAAAGAAUUUCAGCUCAUGAACUUCCAGUCCAAGCAUUUCAGCCCAUGAACUUCAAGUCUAAGAAUUUCAGUGUAAUGAACUUAACAGACAAGAAUUUCAGUGUAAUUGAACUUUACCUGAGUGAACCUAAUGUUCAAGAAUUUCAGUGCAUGAACUUUACAUUCUUGCAUUCUUGACUUUGAUUGGAACAUUGAACAGUUUCAGUGCACUAACUUAUAAAGCAAAUUUAAUUAAAAACAGAUUAACAGUAAA